rnacentral:rRNA from 1 species
UACAGAGGUCUCAAGCGUUGUUCGGAUUCAUUGGGCGUAAAGGGUGCGUAGGCGGCGCGGUAAGUCGGGUGUGAAAUCUCGGAGCUUAACUCCGAAACUGCAUUCGAUACUGCGGUGCUUGAGGACUGGAGAGGAGACUGGAAUUCAUGGUGUAGCAGUGAAAUGCGUAGAGAUCAUGAGGAAGACCAGUGGCGAAGGCGGGUCUCUGGGCCGAUACUGACGCUGAGGAGCGAAAGCGUGGGGAGCGAACAGG